CCUACGGGAGGCAGCAGUGGGGAAUUUUGGACAAUGGGGGCAACCCUGAUCCAGCCAUGCCGCGUGCGGGAAGAAGGCCUUCGGGUUGUAAACCGCUUUUGUCAGGGAAGAAAUCCUUUGAACUAAUACUUCGGAGGGAUGACGGUACCUGAAGAAUAAGCACCGGCUAACUACGUGCCAGCAGCCGCGGUAAUACGCAGGGUGCAAGCGUUAAUCGGAAUUACUGGGCGUAAAGCGUGCGCAGGCGGUUAUGCAAGACAGAUGUGAAAUCCCCGGGCUCAACCUGGGAACUGCAUUUGUGACUGCAUAGCUAGAGUACGGUANAGGGGGAUGGAAUUCCACGUGUAGCAGUGAAAUGCGUAGAUAUGUGGAGGAACACCGAUGGNGAG
rnacentral:rRNA from 1 species